rnacentral:rRNA from 1 species
CACGUAGGGCGCAAGCGUUGUCCGGAAUUAUUGGGCGUAAAGAGCUCGUAGGCGGUCUGUUACGUCUGCUGUGAAAACCCGGGGCUUAACCCUGGGCUUGCAGUGGAUACGGGCAGACUAGAGGCAGGUAGGGGAGAAUGGAAUUCCCGGUGUAGCGGUGAAAUGCGCAGAUAUCUGGAGGAACACCGGUGGCGAAGGCGGCAUCCUGGACCGGUAUUGACGCUGAGGCGCGAAAGCUAGGGGAGCAAACGGGG